GACGAACGCUGGCGGCGUGCUUAACACAUGCAAGUCGAACGGAAAGGCCCUGCUUUUGUGGGGUGCUCGAGUGGCGAACGGGUGAGUAACACGUGAGUAACCUGCCCUUGACUUUGGGAUAACUUCAGGAAACUGGGGCUAAUACCGGAUAGGAGCUCCUGCUGCAUGGUGGGGGUUGGAAAGUUUCGGCGGUUGGGGAUGGACUCGCGGCUUAUCAGCUUGUUGGGGGGGUAGUGGCUUACCAAGGCUUUGACGGGUAGCCGGCCUGAGAGGGUGACCGGCGACAUUGGGACUGAGAUAAGGCACAGAUUCCGAAGGGAGGGAGAUGGGGGGAAGCUUGAAGAAGGGGCGCAAGCCGGAUGCAGCAACGCCUCGUGCGGGAUGACGGUCUUCGGGUUGUAAACCGCAUUCGUCUGUGACGAAGCGUGAGUUACGGUAAUGGGUAAAGAAGCACCCGCUAAACACGUGG
rnacentral:rRNA from 1 species